GACGAACGCUGGCGGCGUGCUUAACACAUGCAAGUCGAACGGAAAGGCCCUGCUUUUGUUGGGUGCUCGAGUGGCGCACGGGUGAGUAUCACGCGAGUAACCUGCCCUUGACUUUGUGAUAACUUCUGGAAACUGGGGCUCAUACCGGAUAGGAGCUCCUGCUGCAUGGUGGGGGUUGGAAAGUUUCGGCGGUUGGGGAUGGACUCGCGGCUUAUCAGCUUGUUGGUGGGGUAGUGGCUUACCAAGGCUUUGACGGGUAGCCGGCCUGAGAGGGUGACCGGCCACAUGGGGACUGAGAUACGGCCCAGACUCCUACGGGAGGCAGCAGUGGGGAAUAUUGCACAAUGGGCGGAAGCCUGAUGCAGCAACGCAGCGUGCGGGAUGACGGCCUUCGGGUUGUAAACCGCUUUCGACUGUGACGAAGCGUGAGUGACGGUAAUGGGUAAAGAAGCACCGGCUAACUACGUG
rnacentral:rRNA from 1 species